rnacentral:rRNA from 1 species
UAGGAAGAUCGAAUUAUAAGUGUAGAGUACACGAGCGGCGGACGGGUGAGUAACACGUGGGAAUCUACCCCAAACUGAGGGAUAAGCACCGGAAACGGUGUCUAAUACCGCAUAUGGUCUUCGGAUUAAAGCUUCGGCGGUUUGGGAAGAGCCCGCGUAAGAUUAGCUAGUUGGUGAGGUAAAGGCUCACCAAGGCGACGAUCUUUAGCUGGUUUGAGAGGAUGAUCAGCCACACUGGAACUGAGACACGGUCCAGACUCCUACGGGAGGCAGCAGUUAGGAAUUUUCCACAAUGGGCGCAAGCCUGAUGGAGCAACGCCGCGUGCAGGAUGAAGGUUUUCGGAUUGUAAACUGCUUUUAUGUGUGAAGAAUAUGACGGUAACACAUGAAUAAGGAUCGGCUAACUCCGUG